UACGGAGGGUGCAAGCGUUAUCCGGAUUCACUGGGUUUAAAGGGUGCGUAGGUGGAUUAGUAAGUCAGUGGUGAAAUCUCCGGGCUUAACCCGGAAACUGCCAUUGAUACUAUUAGUCUUGAAUACCGUGGAGGUCAGCGGAAUAUGUCAUGUAGCGGUGAAAUGCUUAGAUAUGACAUAGAACACCAAUUGCGAAGGCAGCUGGCUACGCAUAUAUUGACACUGAGGCACGAAAGCGUGGGGAUCAAACAGG
rnacentral:rRNA from 1 species